rnacentral:rRNA from 1 species
CUCGGUGCUUUGCAUCGCGUCGGCGAGUGCAUUCGAUAAGUCAUAACGACUCUCGGCAACGGAUAUCUCGGCUCUCGCAUCGAUGAAGAACGUAGCAAAAUGCGAUACGUGGUGUGAAUUGCAGGAUCCCGUGAACCAUCGAGUUUUUGAACGCAAGUUGCGCCCGAAGCCUUUAGGCCGAGGGCACGUCUGCCUGGGCGUCACGCA